GCCUUUAUAGCUCAGUGGUAGAGCGCAUCACUCGUAUUCCAUAAUUGGUACUCGUCAUGAUGAGGUCCGUUGUUCAAUCCAGCGUGGAGGCA